AACGAACGCUGGCGGCAGGCCUAAUACAUGCAAGUCGAACGAUCCUUCGGGAUAGUGGCGCACGGGUGAGUAACACGUGGGAACAUACCCUUGGGUGCGGAACAACGUCGGGAAACUGACGCUAAUACCGCAUAAUGACUCCGGUCCAAAGAUUUAUCGCCCAAGGAUUGGCCCGCGCUAGAUUAGGUUGUUGGUGAGGUAACGGCUCACCAAGCCUACGAUCUAUAGCUGGUCUGAGAGGAUGAUCAGCCACACUGGGACUGAGACACGGCCCAGACUCCUACGGGAGGCAGCAGUAAGGAAUAUUGGACAAUGGGGGCAACCCUGAUCCAGCCAUGCCGCGUGAGUGAAGAAGGCCUUAGGGUUGUAAAGCUCUUUCAGGUGCGAAGAUAAUGACUGUAACACCAGAAGAAGCCCCGGCUAAAUUCGUGCCAGCAGCCGCGGUAAAGUCUGUACU
rnacentral:rRNA from 1 species